rnacentral:lncRNA from 1 species
GAGAAUUAAGCUGCAUUCUUGCUUUAGAAGUUACCCUGCAGAAGCUAAACCUGCAGAUGAAAUCAAAAAGGAGCUGAGAAAUGUGAAGAAAUUAAGACUUUACUAAAUCAGGAGUAGCCAUUGAAAUUCAACAGCUAGUUUCUUUUACUAGUUUAAGAAAGUUACAGCUGGUGUUUUUUCUUCUUUUGUCUUGUUAAUUGGACUGAGCCUUCCCAUCUUCUUCCAAGUGGAUGGAUGAUAUCCUCCAAUAACCAUUUAUGGUCGGAGAGGAGUUCUAGGUUCCUAGAUGUAGGAUCUGAUUUUAGACCGGCUGUAAAAUGAUAUAGUCUUUUGUAAUUUGUCUUUUGAGUUAGUGAGAAAAUACACAGACUCUUGCUCUUCCUACCUUCUCUUGAAAGAAACAAAUUUCUUCAAACCUUUGCUCAAAGUUUCAAUCUUUUAUCAACCUAAUCGAUAUGCCUGGUACCAUUUCAAACAUGGUAUCAGAGCUAUUGGUCUGAUUCCGAAGAAAGGGCGUUAUACUGUGAGAGAAAUCCAACUCCGGAAAAAAAACCAGAAAACCUUAAAGGUGGUUCUUUUAUUGUGACUCUUUGUAUUCUAGCUCAAGAAAUGGCUGGAUCGAGCACAUCUGGUGGUGAUUUACGAACACCACAAUUUAAUGGAUCAAACUACGAUUUUUGGGCCAUUAAAAUGGAAACCAUUCUUAUAGCCUACGAUCUAUGGGAUGUGGUUGAAGCUGGGUUACCUGAACAACAAACUCCCAGAGAAGAAGGCUCUGAGGAAGAAGGAGAAAGCGAGACGGAAAACAUUCCGGUUGAAGCUCCUGUUGUUACAAAGGAGGAGAGGAUCAAGAAUGCCAAGGCGUUGAGUCUCAUCCAAAGUGCAAUCACUGAUGAGCUUUUUCCCAGAAUCCGAAAUGAGAAGACUGCAAAGGGUGCCUGGGAAAUCUUGAGAAGAGAGUUCAGAGGAGAUAAAAAGGUACGAGUUGUGAAAUUACAAGCCAUUAGAGCAGAUUUUGAAUAUUUAAGGAUGAAUGAUGUUGAAUCUCUGGAUGACUAUUUGGCUCGGUUCUUUGAGAUAGUAAACAACCUGAAAUCUCUAGGAGAAGAUGUAACCGAAAAAAGGAUUGUUCAAAAGCUGUUGAUGAGUCUAAAUAGGAGAUAUAAGUCCAUAGUGUCAAUCAUUGAGGAAACCAGAGAUCUGGACAGUAUUAGAGUUGAAGAAGUCCUAGCCUCAGUGAAAGUCUAUGAUAAAAGAGAAGACUUGCAUGAUGAAAGAGAUAAAUACACUGGUACAGAGAGGGCCUUCAGCAGUCUCAAGGUUGGAGGAAACGGAAGCAGUAAUGGAAAUUUCAAAGGCUCUCAGUAUAAGACAAACUCAAAAUGGACUCAAUAUAAAAAGGGGAAGAACUGGUCUCAGAAUGGGAACUGGAGCAAUACUAGUGGAUCAAACUGGAACAACAACUCUGGAGGAAGUUGGAACAAUAAGUUCAAUCCACAGAACAAGCAAGGGAGUAAUAGUCAAAGUGGUGUGAAACCACAGUGUCAAGUCUGCGAGAAAUACCAUUUUGGUGUGUGUAGAUAUAAAGGAAAAGCUAAGUGUGGAAAGUGCAAUAGGUUUGGUCAUAUGGCAAAAGACUGUGAUAACAACAGACAAGUGGCUAACUAUGCCAAGGAAGAAGAUGUAACCACUGGUACAAUGUUCUAUGCUUGUCACUCAGCAUCAAUAGAACAAGAUAAAUCUGUGUGGUUUGUGGAUAGCGCUUGCAGCAAUCACAUGACUUCUCAAGAGUCUCUUCUAUUGAAUCUUGACAGAUCAGUGACUUGUAGAGUUAAAAUGGGGACUGGAGAUUUGGUUCAAGCAACAGGCAAGGGAACACUGGUAGUAAAUACAAAGCAUGGGAAGAGAUACAUCAAUGAAGUCCUGUUGGUUCCAAGAUUAGAUGAAAACCUGCUGAGUGUUGGUCAAAUGAUGGAACACGGCUACUAUGUUCUGUUUGGAGGCAACAUGGCUGUGAUCUUCGAUGACAGCAACCUUGAGAAUGUGGUAGCCAAGGUAGUAAUGACAGGGAACAGAUGCUUUCCAUUGUCUCUUGAAUCUAUAAAUCCAGUGGCCAGAAAAGCAUCAAUUGAAGAAGAGUCUUGGAUCUGGCAUAAAAGGCUAGGUCACUUGAACUUUGCAAGUCUGAAAAGGAUGCAGAAAGAAUGGUUGGUGUUUGGUUUGCCUGAACUAUCUGAAAUGAAAGAAAUCUGUGAGAGUUGUGUGUCUGGGAAGAUGCAUAGGGAACCAUUUGAUAAAGAGAAAGCUUGGAGAGCUAGUAAUCCAUUAGAACUGGUACACACAGAUGUUUGUGGACCAAUGCAGAAUGAAUCCAUUGGUGGCAACAGAUAUUUCAUAACAUUCAUAGAUGAUUUCUCAAGAAUGUGUUGGGUGUACUUUCUUAGAAACAAAUCUGAUGUGUUCAAUGUGUUUAAAAAAUUCAAAGUCCUUGUGGAACUACAAAGUGGUUUUAAGCUCAAGAAGCUGAGAAGUGACAGAGGAGGUGAAUAUACAUCCCAUGAAUUCUCAGACUUCUGUUCCAGCACUGGAAUGGAGAGGCAAUUGACAGUAGCAUAUUCUCCUCAGCAAAAUGGAGUUGCUGAGAGAAGAAAUAGAACCAUUUGUGAAAUGGCAAAAUCUAUGAUGGCUGAGAAGAACAUUCCUGUGAUUUUCUGGGCUGAAGCAGUUGGAACUUCAGUAUAUCUGCAAAAUAGAUGUCCUACAAUCUCAGUAAAGGGCAAGACUCCAUUUGAAGCCUUCACAGAAAGAAAGCCAGGUGUAAAACACAUGAGAAUGUUCGGAUGUAUCUGUUAUAGUCACAUUCCAUCCAAGCUUAGACAGAAGUUUGAUGACAAAGCAAGCAAAGGAAUUUUUAUGGGGUAUGGCAGUUGUGAAAAAGGUUACAGAAUCUAUAAUCUUCAAACAGAGAAGAUUAUUCUCUCAAGGAGUGUAGUGUUUGAUGAGAAUAAGACCUGGAACUGGCAAAGCAAGCAAGAUGAAUCUGUCUACAUACCUCCCACUAUUGGAGAUGAAAACACUGAGAUGACAGAAACUGAAGAACAUUUUCAUGAACCUCAUAGUAUUGACUCUUCAAAUCCUACUCAAUUAAUCUCAGAUGAUGAACAUGUUCCUGGAAGCAACAUUGCCAGUACAAGUCAAGGCUCAACACCAAGCAAUACACCAGUAAAACUGAGAAGCUUGGAGGACAUUUAUGCAAGAUGUAGCAUGACCAUCAUUGAGCCUGAAACCUAUCAUGAAGCUAUUGAAGACAAUGCAUGGAAGGAAGCAAUGAAUGCUGAGAUUGAAACUAUUGAGAAAAAUGGAACUUGGGAGCUGGUGGAAAGACCUGCAGACAAGCCUGUCAUAGGAGUCAAAUGGGUGUUCAAAACCAAACUGAAUCUCGAUGGAUCAGUUCAAAAACACAAGGCUAGACUUGUGGCAAAAGGGUAUGCUCAGAAACCUGGUAUUGACUACAAUGAAACCUUUGCCCCAGUGGCAAAGGUUGGAUACAAUUCGAACUUUGAUUGCACUUGCAGCACAAAAGGGUUGGAAAUUGUUCCAACUAGAUGUUAAGUCAGCCUUCUUAAAUGGAGUGCUUGAGGAGGAGGUUUACACUGAGCAACCCGAGGGUUUUGAAGUCAAAAAUGCAAGUCACAAGGUCUAUAAGUUGAAGAAGGCUCUCUAUGGUUUGAAGCAGGCUCCUAGAGCCUGGUACAGUGAGAUUGACACUUAUCUCACAAACUGCAAUUUCAAAAGAAGCAUAAGUGAGGCUACCUUAUACACUAGAACUGAUGAUGAAGGAAAUAUGAUCAUAGUCUCUAUAUAUGUUGAUGAUAUAGUAUACACUGGAGGUAGCAAUACACUGCUCAGUGAGUUUAAAAGAGACAUGAUGCAGAAAUAUGAGAUGACUGACUUAGGACUCUUACAUCAUUUCUUGGGAAUGGGAGUUCUACAAACUGAAAGAGGGGUUUUUAUUCAUCAAAGCAAAUAUGCAAAGUCCUUACUUGUAAAGUUUGGUCUGGAGGAUUGUAAGUCAGUGACAAUACCUCUACCCACAGGUGAGAAACUGAAGAAAGUUGAUGGAAGUGAGUUGGCGGAUGAAGAGUUGUUCAGGAAAAUAGUUGGCAGUUUGCUAUAUUUAACUGCAACUAGGCCUGAUAUAAUGUAUGCAGCCAAUUUGCUAUCAAGGUUCAUGCAUGGUCCCACGAAGAAGCACAUGGGAAUAGCUAAAAGAGUUCUUAGAUACAUUCAAGGUACUCUCAGCUAUGGCAUUGAAUUUACAAGGGACAAGGAUGCUGUUUUGAUUGGAUUUUGUGACUCAGAUUGGGCUGGCAGUGAAGAUGACAGUAGGAGCACAUCCGGGUAUGCAUUCAGUUUUGGUAGUGGUACAUUUUCAUGGGCCUCAGUCAAGCAAAACACAGUUGCAUUGUCAACUGCAGAAGCUGAGUAUGUCUCAGCAGCAGGAGCAACAGCUCAAGCCAUCUGGCUAAGAUUUGUUUUGGAUGAUUUUGGUGAAUUGCAAGCUGAUGCAACACCAUUGUUUUGUGAUAACAUGUCUGCAAUAUCGAUGGUCAAAAAUCCUGUUUUUCAUCAGAGAACCAGACACAUAAACAGGAAAUAUCAUUUUAUUCGAGAAGCAUUGCAGCAAGGAUCCAUUGAUGUGAAGUACUGCAGAAGUGAAGAGCAGUUGGCAGAUAUAUUUACAAAAGCUUUGCCUAAAGAUCGAUUCAAUUACUUGAGGAUGAAGUUAGGAGUAAAGCCAGUAAGCAGCUUAGGAGAGGCUGUUGAGAAUUAAGCUGCAUUCUUGCUUUAGAAGUUACCCUGCAGAAGCUAAACCUGCAGAUGAAAUCAAAAAGGAGCUGAGAAAUGUGAAGAAAUUAAGACUUUACUAAAUCAGGAGUAGCCAUUGAAAUUCAACAGCUAGUUUCUUUUACUAGUUUAAGAAAGUUACAGCUGGUGUUUUUUCUUCUUUUGUCUUGUUAAUUGGACUGAGCCUUCCCAUCUUCUUCCAAGUGGAUGGAUGAUAUCCUCCAAUAACCAUUUAUGGUCGGAGAGGAGUUCUAGGUUCCUAGAUGUAGGAUCUGAUUUUAGACCGGCUGUAAAAUGAUAUAGUCUUUUGUAAUUUGUCUUUUGAGUUAGUGAGAAAAUACACAGAUUCUUGCUCUUCCUAC